rnacentral:rRNA from 1 species
CUCCUACGGGAGGCAGCAGUGGGGAAUUUUGGACAAUGGGCGAAAGCCUGAUCCAGCAAUGCCGCGUGUGUGAAGAAGGCCUUCGGGUUGUAAAGCACUUUUGUCCGGAAAGAAAUGGCUCUGGUUAAUACCCGGAGUCGAUGACGGUACCGGAAGAAUAAGGACCGGCUAACUACGUGCCAGCAGCCGCGGUAAUACGUAGGGGUCCAAGCGUUAAUCGGAAUUACUGGGCGUAAAGCGUGCGCAGGCGGUUGUGCAAGACCGAUGUGAAAUCCCCCGGGCUUAACCUGGGAAUUGCAUUGGUGACUGCACGGCUAGAGUGUGUCAGAGGGAGGUAGAAUUCCACGUGUAGCAUGAAAUGCGUAGAGAUGUGGAGGAAUACCGAUGGCGAAGCAGCCUCCCUGGGAUAACACUGACGCUCAUGCACGAAAAGCGUGGGGAGCAAACAGGAUUAGAUACCCCUGGUAGUCCACGCCCCUAAACGAUGUCAACUAAGUUGUUGGGGAUUCAUUUCCUUAGUAACGUAGCUAACGCGUGAAGUUGACCGCCUGGGGAGUACGGUCGCAAGAUUAAAACUCAAAGGAAUUGACGGGGAACCCGCACAAGCGGUGGAUGAUGUGGAUUAAUUCGAUGCAACGCGAAAAA